AACGAACGCUGGCGGCAUGCUUUAUACAUGCAAGUCGAACGCGAAAGUGUCUUCGGACAUUAGUAGAGUGGCAAACGGGUGAGUAACGCGUGGGAAUAUACCUUAUAGUACGGAAUAACCUCGGGAAACUGGGAUUAAUACCGUAUACGCUCUGAGGGGGAAAGAUUUAUCGCUAUAAGAUUAGCCCGCGUCAGAUUAGCUAGUUGGUGGGGUAAUGGCCUACCAAGGCAACGAUCUGUAGCUGGUCUGAGAGGAUGAUCAGCCACAUUGGGACUGAGAUACGGCCCAAACUCCUACGGGAGGCAGCAGUAGGGAAUAUUGGACAAUGGACGAAAGUCUGAUCCAGCGAUGCCGCGUGAGUGAUGAAGGCCUUAGGGUUGUAAAGCUCCUUUAGUGGGGAAGAUAAUGACGGUACCCACAGAAAAAGCACCGGCUAACUUCGUGCCAGCCGCCGCGGUAA
rnacentral:rRNA from 1 species